AUUUUUGUAGUUGAAAACAACUUCAGCUUUUCACGCUGACGGUCUGGGUUAAAAUCCCAGCAAGAAUU
rnacentral:tRNA from 1 species